rnacentral:rRNA from 1 species
UACGUAGGGUGCGAGCGUUAAUCGGAAUUACUGGGCGUAAAGCGUGCGCAGGCGGUUCGUUAAGUUCGUUGUGAAAGCCCCGGGCUCAACCUGGGAACUGCAAUGGAAACUGGCGGGCUUGAAUGCGGCAGAGGGGGGUGGAAUUCCGCGUGUAGCAGUGAAAUGCGUAGAGAUGCGGAGGAACACCGAUGGCGAAGGCAAUCCCCUGGACCUGUACUGACGCUCAUGCACGAAAGGCGUGGGGAGCAAACAGG